AUUUAUUUUUUCUUGUAUAGCGGAAAAGACGUUUGUAACUCAAUGUUUUAAUAUCGUAAAAAGUUGGAUUUUGGUGGAGUGAAAUAGAUGCGUUACCAAAUCUUGCGUUUUAAAUAAAAAUAAAGCCGAAAAAAGCACUUACAGAAUUUAGGAAAACAACGUCUUUACCCUGACGAUACACUUUAAAGGUAAAUAUCUUAAGAGAGAGAGAAAGAGAGAGAGAGAGAGACUUUUUAUGUUUAAGCCUUUAAGGGGACCUAGAUACGAUUAAAGCUUAAAAAAAAAAAUUCAUCUUAAUUUUUUUUCUCAUUUUAAUGUCUAAUGUAAUCAACAUGUAUGUUUUUAGUGCUUUGCCAAAAUUUUCAAUUGAAAUAUCGAGUAAAAAGAACGUUAAAGAGGUUGUAUUUUUUUUUUAUUUUGUAAAGUAAGCUCGUCCUGUUAUUAUUUACAUAUGUCUUGUAUUGGUUAAAAUAACAUUUCAAUCUAAUGUGUUUUUCGUUGGUUGUCGAUAACAGCAUUUAUGAACUUAUUAAUCAGGUUCUCUUGUCUACCACAAUUAGAUAUUUUGUCC
rnacentral:sRNA from 1 species